AACGAACGCUGGCGGCAUGCCUAAUACAUGCAAGUCGAACGAGGUCUCCGGAUCUAGUGGCGCACGGGUGCGUAACGCGUGGGAAUCUACCCUUGGGUUCGGAAUAACGUCGGGAAACUGACGCUAAUACCGGAUGAUGACGUAAGUCCAAAGAUUUAUCGCCCAAGGAUGAGCCCGCGUAGGAUUAGCUAGUUGGUGGGGUAAAGGCCUACCAAGGCGACGAUCCUUAGCUGGUCUGAGAGGAUGAUCAGCCACACUGUGACUGAGACACGGCCCAGACUCCUACGGGAGGCAGCAGUAGGGAAUAUUGGACAAUGGGGGCAACCCUGAUCCAGCAAUGCCGCGUGAGCGAUGAAGGCCUUAGGGUUGUAAAGCUCUUUUACCCGAGAUGAUAAUGACAGUAUCGGGAGAAUAAGCACCGGCUAACUCUGUGCCAGCCGCCGCGGUAA
rnacentral:rRNA from 1 species